GACGAACGCUGGCGGCGUGCUUAACACAUGCAAGUCGAACGGAAAGGCCCUGCUUUUGUGGGGUGCUCGAGUGGCGAACGGGUGAGUAACACGUGAGUAACCUGCCCUUGACUUUGGGAUAACUUCAGGAAACUGGGGCUAAUACCGGAUAGGAGCUCCUGCUGCAUGGUGGGGGUUGGAAAGUUUCGGCGGUUGGGGAUGGACCCGCGGCUUUUCAGCUUGUUGGUGGGGUAGUGGCUUACCAAGGCUUUGACGGGUAGCCGGCCUGAGAGGGUGACCGGCCACAUUGGGACUGAGAUACGGCCCAGACUCCUACGGGAGGCAGCAGUGGGGAAUAUUGCACAAUGGGCGGAAGCCUGAUGCAGCAACGUCGCGUGCGGGAUGACGGCCUUCGGGUUGUAAACCGCUUUCGCCUGUGACGAAGCGUGAGUGACGGUAAUGGGUAAAGAAGCACCGGCUAACUACGUG
rnacentral:rRNA from 1 species